rnacentral:rRNA from 1 species
GGUGAGGUAAUGGCUCACCAAGGCGACGACGGGUAGCCGGCCUGAGAGGGUGACCGGCCACACUGGGACUGAGACACGGCCCAGACUCCUACGGGAGGCAGCAGUGGGGAAUAUUGCACAAUGGGCGCAAGCCUGAUGCAGCGACGCCGCGUGAGGGAUGACGGCCUUCGGGUUGUAAACCUCUUUCAGUAGGGAAGAAGCGAAAGUGACGGUACCUGCAGAAGAAGCACCGGCUAACUACGUGCCAGCAGCCGCGGUAAUACGUAGGGUGCGAGCGUUAUCCGGAAUUAUUGGGCGUAAAGAGCUCGUAGGCGGUUUGUCGCGUCUGUCGUGAAAGUCCGGGGCUUAACCCCGGAUCUGCGGUGGGUACGGGCAGACUAGAGUGCAGUAGGGGAGACUGGAAUUCCUGGUGUAGCGGUGGAAUGCGCAGAUAUCAGGAGGAACACCGAUGGCGAAGGCAGGUCUCUGGGCUGUAACUGACGCUGAGGAGCGAAAGCAUGGGGAGCGAACAGGAUUAGAUACCCUGGUAGUCCAUGCCGUAAACGUUGGGCACUAGGUGUGGGGACCAUUCCACGGUUUCCGCGCCGCAGCUAACGCAUUAAGUGCCCCG